CUGGCUGCCUACAAGACAAAGUGAUAGGACAGGGAGUCAAUGGCUCUCUGUUCCAUUAGUUUUAACUGAAGAGAGGUCUCUUUUCUCCCCCAGGAAACUCCUUUCUCUUGUGGAUAGAAUGAGUAUGUGUUUUAUGAAAGUAGUCUAUCUGAGGAUGUAAAGCUGCAGUGAUGACACAACCAUAGACAUCCGGUGGGCAAUUUAGAUAAACUGUAAUCACAGAUCAUAGCUCUGCACUAAUGGAGAUAAGAAACAAGCAGUCAGAAUAGGAGUAAAGUACAUAGCAGAUUUUUUCCAGAUUGCAAUGCGGCCAAGACCUGACACACUAGUCAGCUGAUGAUAGGGAGCCUGUCUGCUUCAAUGGGUGGAGCGAUCGCUUGGUGGGAGAGAGAUCAACCUGCAGCUAAUGCAACAGCUCAGAAGAAAAAAAGAGAAAUCAGGAGGCACUCACGUUCGGAUGGUGGAUCACAGCUUCUUUAUUGUGGAUGCGGCAGUCUGCUGACAGCGGCAUGGGACGCCGGAGCGGUGGAUGUAACACUGAGUGACAAUUGUUUCACGCCCCUCCGGGCGUUUCUUCAGACUAACCCGUCUCUGGAUCUUCACA